rnacentral:sRNA from 1 species
CCGGGGGCAGGAGGUUCGACUCGAGCGAAGCGAGAGAACGUUGCGUCAGCAACGGCCCGCAGGGCGAGCCACGAAGUGGUGAGUCAUCCUCUAUCACCGACCA